CAAAUUUAAACGCUUCUCCCCUUCGGUUUCACUGAUGAGCGGUUUUUGAUUUAGCGAUGGCUUCAGUGAGGAACUUCUUUAUAAACCUCUGCCAUCGCUUCUUUGGGUUAUUUCGCUCCUCUUCAGAUCCACUCCUCACUGAUUUUGGAACUCUUCAGACCUGCUCCUUUGAUAGAGUAGCAAAAUAAGUUUUUCACAAAGCCUUCUCACUAACGAAGCCUACCUUCCCGCGUCCCGUCUUUCCCUCUUCUUACUCGCAUGCAGUCCAACCUUUUUUUUCCUUGCUCUUGAGACCGUCCACCCCGGCUAUCCCUUCUCUCUUCUUGCGUGCAAUACCUCAUCUCUCUCCAAGAACAGCAAUGAUUUUUAUUUCAUGGAGAUAUUGACACUAAGAAGCUUCAUUUGAUCUCUUUCAACGAAACUUACCAAAAAAAAAGACGGUGGCUUAGGCUUUCCUUCUCUAAAUGUUAUAAAUCAUGCUUAUUGUUGCUUCCUCGUACAAUGGCUUUUUCCUGGUGAUGUUUUCCUUGCCAUAUUGUGUAACUGCAAAUAUACUUCCCUAUGGAAGACGGAAUCAUUAAAAGCUUGCAACUGUUGGAACAA